rnacentral:rRNA from 1 species
AACGUAGGUGGCAAGCGUUACCCGGAAUUACUGGGCGUAAAGGGUGUGCAGGCGGGGCUGCAAGUGGUGUAUGAAAAUCUCCCAGCUUAACUGGGAUAGGUUAUGCCAGACUGCAGUUCUAGAGGACGAGAGAGGGGGGUGGAAUUCCGGGUGUAGUGGUGAAAUGCGUAGAGAUCCGGAGGAACCCCAGAGGCGAAGGCGGCCCCCUGGCUCGUACCUGACGCUCAGCCACGAAAGCAUGGGGAGCGAACGGG